ACUCAAAUGAAUUGACGGGGGCCCGCACAAGCGGUGGAGCGUGUGGUUUAAUUCGAUGCUAAGCGAGGAACCUUACCAGGGCUUGAAAUCUAGCUGCACACCUGCAGAAACGCAGGAGCCUUCGAGGGUGCUAGACAGGUGCUGCACGGUUGCCGUCAGCUCGUGUUGUGAAAUGUUCCCUUCAGUGGGGUAACGAGCGCAACCCUUGUCGCAUGUUGUUUUUCAUGCGAGACUGCCGUGGUUAACACGGAGGAAGGUGAGGAUGACGUCAAAUCAGCGUGGUCUUCUGACGCCCUGGGCGACACACGCGCUACAAUGGCUGGGACAAUGAGAUAGUGCAAACUCGCGAGAGGGAGCUAAUCUAUAAACCCAGUCUCAGUUCGGAUUGGAGGCUGCAACUCGCCUCCAUGAAGCUGGAAUCGCUAGUAACCGCAGAUCAGCCACGCUGCGGUGAAUACGUUCUCGGGCUUUGUACACACCGCCCGU
rnacentral:rRNA from 1 species